GGGGUACACGGUGGAUGCCUUGGCAACUGGAGGCGAUGAAAGACGUAGUAGCCUGCGAUAAGCUUCGGUGAGGUGGCAAACAACCUUUGACCCGGAGAUCUCUGAAUGGGGAAACCCACUGCUUCGGCAGUAUCCUGCACUGAAUACAUAGGUGACAGGAGGCAAACCUAGGGAACUGAAACAUCUAAGUACCUAGAGGAAAAG
rnacentral:rRNA from 17 species